rnacentral:lncRNA from 1 species
GCCCAUUUGCAUAAAAAAUCUACUUAUUUUGGACUUUUGCAAAAUCGGACCACCUUUUUUAUUUUUACAGAUUCGGUCCGCCUUUUCGUCUGCCGGACCAAAAUGCCCCUCGUAUACAAAAGCCGCCUGCGUAUUUCUUGACAUACGUAUACUACCCUACCCUACGGUCUGGCGCGCAUUAAAUGCGCCGCUUCCGCCUUACGCAACCUCACUUAUUUAUCAGAACCCGGAUCACAUCCGCCGCCCUAUUCGUCGGCCCCGCUGUUUGCUGUUCGAUUUUACUAAUAAAAUUUCUGAAGCUAAAUGAAAAAAACUGCACGUCCCGCAACAAGGAUAAUAGUGCAACGCGAAGUAGCAACGCGAGGAAAAAUGGUGCAACUGCCCUUCUAACAGUGCAUCGCUAGGCUCGCUCCAGUGCAACCUCGCCAUAACCAGUCAAAAUUUUACUUUCUCUAUUUCUUAAUAUAAUCUGAACUUAAAAGUGCAAAUGAACGGCGUCCCCUCCAAAUGCAGGCGAAGCGUCGGCGGCGCAGGACGGUCGGCUGCGGGGUAGGACGGUCGGCGAUGUGCCACAUUAGAGUUGGCGUUCCGGGAAGCUCGGCGGCGGGGCUAGACGGUCGCCGGCGGGGUCCGGAGUGCGAGAGGCACGACAUAACGGCUAACAAUUGUGUAAAGUUUUCUCAUAAAAGAUCACGCAUUCUUUUAACUAUAUAAUAAGUGUAAGGCAGUG